UCUGUAGCUCAGUUGGUAGAGCAGGGGACUGAAAAUCCCCGUGUCGAUGGUUCGAUUCCGUCCG
rnacentral:tRNA from 1 species